ensembl:snoRNA
AUCUUUUGUGGUCCAUAGUGUGAAGACAAGGUCUUCAUACUGUUAUGUGAAAUGUGCCUUCUGCUAACCCUGUUAAGACAAGGGCAUGUUAACCACCGGAUG